AUUGAACGCUGGCGGCAGGCCUAACACAUGCAAGUCGAACGAGUGGCGGACGGGUGAGUAAUGUCUGGGAAACUACCUGAUGGAGGGGGAUAACUACUGGAAACGGUAGCUAAUACCGCAUACCAUACGAUGUGCCCAAGUGGGAUUAGCUAGUUGGUGGGGUAACGGCUCACCAAGGCGACGAUCCCUAGCUGGUCUGAGAGGAUGACCAGCCACACUGGGACUGAGACACGGUCCAGACUCCUACGGGAGGCAGCAGUGGGGAAUAUUGCACAAUGGGCGCAAGCCUGAUGCAGCCAUGCCGCGUGUAUGAAGAAGGCCUUCGGGUUGUAAAGUACUUUCAGCGGGGAGGCGUUACCUACAGAAGAAGCACCGGCUAACUCCGUGCCAGCAGCCGCGGUAAUUC
rnacentral:rRNA from 1 species